CAAGUACUCCCUCCGUCCGAAAAUACUUAUCGGAGAAAUGGAUGUAUCUAGACGUAUUUUAGUUUUAGAUACAUCCAUUUUUAUUCAUUUCUUCGACAAGUAUUUUCGGACGGAGGGGGUAAUUG
rnacentral:pre_miRNA from 1 species